GGUUAAGCGACUAAGCGUACACGGUGGAUGCCCUGGCAGUCAGAGGCGAUGAAGGACGUGCUAAUCUGCGAUAAGCGUCGGUAAGGUGAUAUGAACCGUUAUAACCGGCGAUUUCCGAAUGGGGAAACCCAGUGUGAUUCGUCACACUAUCAUUAACUGAAUCCAUAGGUUAAUGAGGCGAACCGGGGGAACUGAAACAUCUAAGUACCCCGAGGAAAAGAAAUCAACCGAGAUUCCCCCAGUAGCGGCGAGCGAACGGGGAGCAGCCCAGAGCCUGAAUCAGUGUGUGUGUUAGUGGAAGCGUCUGGAAAGGCGUGCGAUACAGGGUGACAGCCCCGUACACAAAAAUGCACAUAUUGUGAGCUCGAUGAGUAGGGCGGGACACGUGGUAUCCUGUCUGAAUAUGGGGGGACCAUCCUCCAAGGCUAAAUACUCCUGACUGACCGAUAGUGAACCAGUACCGUGAGGGAAAGGCGAAAAGAACCCCGGCGAGGGGAGUGAAAAAGAACCUGAAACCGUGUACGUACAAGCAGUGGGAGCACGCUUAGGCGUGUGACUGCGUACCUUUUGUAUAAUGGGUCAGCGACUUAUAUUCUGUAGCAAGGUUAACCGAAUAGGGGAGCCGAAGGGAAACCGAGUCUUAACUGGGCGUUAAGUUGCAGGGUAUAGACCCGAAACCCGGUGAUCUAGCCAUGGGCAGGUUGAAGGUUGGGUAACACUAACUGGAGGACCGAACCGACUAAUGUUGAAAAAUUAGCGGAUGACUUGUGGCUGGGGGUGAAAGGCCAAUCAAACCGGGAGAUAGCUGGUUCUCCCCGAAAGCUAUUUAGGUAGCGCCUCGUGAAUUCAUCUCCGGGGGUAGAGCACUGUUUCGGCAAGGGGGUCAUCCCGACUUACCAACCCGAUGCAAACUGCGAAUACCGGAGAAUGUUAUCACGGGAGACACACGGCGGGUGCUAACGUCCGUCGUGAAGAGGGAAACAACCCAGACCGCCAGCUAAGGUCCCAAAGUCAUGGUUAAGUGGGAAACGAUGUGGGAAGGCCCAGACAGCCAGGAUGUUGGCUUAGAAGCAGCCAUCAUUUAAAGAAAGCGUAAUAGCUCACUGGUCGAGUCGGCCUGCGCGGAAGAUGUAACGGGGCUAAACCAUGCACCGAAGCUGCGGCAGCGACGCUUAUGCGUUGUUGGGUAGGGGAGCGUUCUGUAAGCCUGUGAAGGUGUGCUGUGAGGCAUGCUGGAGGUAUCAGAAGUGCGAAUGCUGACAUAAGUAACGAUAAAGCGGGUGAAAAGCCCGCUCGCCGGAAGACCAAGGGUUCCUGUCCAACGUUAAUCGGGGCAGGGUGAGUCGACCCCUAAGGCGAGGCCGAAAGGCGUAGUCGAUGGGAAACAGGUUAAUAUUCCUGUACUUGGUGUUACUGCGAAGGGGGGACGGAGAAGGCUAUGUUGGCCGGGCGACGGUUGUCCCGGUUUAAGCGUGUAGGCUGGUUUUCCAGGCAAAUCCGGAAAAUCAAGGCUGAGGCGUGAUGACGAGGCACUACGGUGCUGAAGCAACAAAUGCCCUGCUUCCAGGAAAAGCCUCUAAGCAUCAGGUAACAUCAAAUCGUACCCCAAACCGACACAGGUGGUCAGGUAGAGAAUACCAAGGCGCUUGAGAGAACUCGGGUGAAGGAACUAGGCAAAAUGGUGCCGUAACUUCGGGAGAAGGCACGCUGAUAUGUAGGUGAAGUCCCUUGCGGAUGGAGCUGAAAUCAGUCGAAGAUACCAGCUGGCUGCAACUGUUUAUUAAAAACACAGCACUGUGCAAACACGAAAGUGGACGUAUACGGUGUGACGCCUGCCCGGUGCCGGAAGGUUAAUUGAUGGGGUCAGCGCAAGCGAAGCUCUUGAUCGAAGCCCCGGUAAACGGCGGCCGUAACUAUAACGGUCCUAAGGUAGCGAAAUUCCUUGUCGGGUAAGUUCCGACCUGCACGAAUGGCGUAAUGAUGGCCAGGCUGUCUCCACCCGAGACUCAGUGAAAUUGAACUCGCUGUGAAGAUGCAGUGUACCCGCGGCAAGACGGAAAGACCCCGUGAACCUUUACUAUAGCUUGACACUGAACAUUGAGCCUUGAUGUGUAGGAUAGGUGGGAGGCUUUGAAGUGUGGACGCCAGUCUGCAUGGAGCCGACCUUGAAAUACCACCCUUUAAUGUUUGAUGUUCUAACGUGGACCCGUGAUCCGGGUUGCGGACAGUGUCUGGUGGGUAGUUUGACUGGGGCGGUCUCCUCCUAAAGAGUAACGGAGGAGCACGAAGGUUGGCUAAUCCUGGUCGGACAUCAGGAGGUUAGUGCAAUGGCAUAAGCCAGCUUGACUGCGAGCGUGACGGCGCGAGCAGGUGCGAAAGCAGGUCAUAGUGAUCCGGUGGUUCUGAAUGGAAGGGCCAUCGCUCAACGGAUAAAAGGUACUCCGGGGAUAACAGGCUGAUACCGCCCAAGAGUUCAUAUCGACGGCGGUGUUUGGCACCUCGAUGUCGGCUCAUCACAUCCUGGGGCUGAAGUAGGUCCCAAGGGUAUGGCUGUUCGCCAUUUAAAGUGGUACGCGAGCUGGGUUUAGAACGUCGUGAGACAGUUCGGUCCCUAUCUGCCGUGGGCGCUGGAGAACUGAGGGGGGCUGCUCCUAGUACGAGAGGACCGGAGUGGACGCAUCACUGGUGUUCGGGUUGUCAUGCCAAUGGCACUGCCCGGUAGCUAAAUGCGGAAGAGAUAAGUGCUGAAAGCAUCUAAGCACGAAACUUGCCCCGAGAUGAGUUCUCCCUGACCCUUUAAGGGUCCUGAAGGAACGUUGAAGACGACGACGUUGAUAGGCCGGGUGUGUAAGCGCAGCGAUGCGUUGAGCUAACCGGUACUAAUGAACCGUGAGGCUUAACCUU
rnacentral:rRNA from 1 species